GAUGAAGAACGCAGCAAAAUGCGAUAAGUAAUGUGAAUUGCAGAAUUCAGUGAAUCAUCGAAUCUUUGAACGCACAUUGCGCCCGCCAGUAUUCUAGCGGGCAUGCCUGUUCGAGCGUCAUUUCAACCCUCAAGCCCUCGGGUUUGGUGUUGGGGAUCGGCGAGCCUUUCUGGCAAGCCGGCCCCGAAAUCUAGUGGCGGUCUCGCUGCAGCCUCCAUUGCGUAGUAGUAAAACCCUCGCAACUGGAACGCGGCGCGGCCAAGCCGUUAAACCCCCAACUUCUGAAUGUUGACCUCGGAUCAGGUAGGAAUACCCGCUGAACUUAAGCAUAUCAAUAAGCGGAGGA
rnacentral:misc_RNA from 1 species